AUUGAACGCUGGCGGAAUGCUUUACACAUGCAAGUCGAACGGUAGAGGGGGCAACCCCUUGAGAGUGGCGAACGGGUGAGUAAUAUAUCGGAACGUGCCCAGUCGUGGGGAUAACGUAGCGAAAGCUACGCUAAUACCGCAUACGAUCUACGGAUGAAAGCGGGGGAUCGCAAGACCUCGCGCGAUUGGAGCGGCCGAUAUCAGAUUAGGUAGUUGGUGAGGUAAAGGCUCACCAAGCCGACGAUCUGUAGCUGGUCUGAGAGGACGACCAGCCACACUGGGACUGAGACACGGCCCAGACUCCUACGGGAGGCAGCAGUGGGGAAUUUUGGACAAUGGGCGCAAGCCUGAUCCAGCAAUGCCGCGUGCAGGAUGAAGGCCUUC
rnacentral:rRNA from 1 species